rnacentral:rRNA from 1 species
GACGAACGCUGGCGGCGUGCUUAACACAUGCAAGUCGAACGGAAAGUCCCUGCUUUUGUGGGGUGCUCGAGUUGCGAACGGGUGAGUAACACUUGAGUACCCUGCCCUUGCCUUUGGGAUAACUUCAUGAAACUGGCUCUAAUACCGGAUAGGAGCUCCUGCUUCAUGGUGGGGGUUGGAAAGUUUCGGCGGUUGGGGAUGGACUCGCGGCUUAUCAGCUUGUUGGUGGGGUAGUGGCUUACCAAGGCUUUGACGGGUAGCCGGCCUGAGAGGGGGACCGGACACAUUGGGACUGAGAUACGGCACAGACUACUACGGGAGGCAGCAGUGGGGAAUAUUGCACAAUGGGCGGAAGCCUGAUGCAGCAACGCCGCGUGCGGGAUGACGGCAUUCGGGUUGUAAACCGCUUUCGCCUGUGACGAAGCGUGAGUGACGGUAAUGGGUAAAGAAGCACCGGCUAACUACGUG